AUUGAACGCUGGCGGCAGGCCUAACACAUGCAAGUCGAACGAGUGGCGGACGGGUGAGUAAUGUCUGGGAAACUGCCUGAUGGAGGGGGAUAACUACUGGAAACGGUAGCUAAUACCGCAUACCAUCGGAUGUGCCCAGAGGGGAUUAGCUAGUAGGUGGGGUAAAGGCUCACCUAGGCGACGAUCCCUAGCUGGGCUGAGAGGAUGACCAGCCACACUGGAACUGUGGCACGGUCCAUACUCUCACGGGAGGCAGCGAUGUGGAAACGUGCACAAUGGGGGCAAGCCUGAUGCAGCCAUGCCGCGUGUAUGAAGAAGGCCUUCGGGUUGUAAAGUACUUUCAGCGGGGAGGCAUUACCCGCAGAAGAAGCACCGGCUAACUCCGUGCCAGCAGCCGCGGUAAUUC
rnacentral:rRNA from 1 species